UCCAGACUCCUACGGGAGGCAGCAGUGGGGGAUAUUGCACAAUGGGGGGAACCCUGAUGCAGCGACGCCGCGUGGGUGAAGGAGCGUUUCGGCGCGUAAAGCCCUAUCGGCAGGGAAGAAGGAGGACGGUACCUGACUAAGAAGCCCCGGCUAACUACGUGCCAGCAGCCGCGGUAAUACGUAGGGGGCAAGCGUUAUCCGGAUUUACUGGGUGUAAAGGGGGCGCAGACGGCAGCGCAAGCCAGGAGUGAAAGCCCGGGGCCCAACCCCGGGACUGCUCUUGGAACUGCGCGGCUGGAGUGCAGGAGGGGCAGGCGGAAUUCCUGGUGUAGCGGUGAAAUGCGUAGAUAUCAGGAGGAACACCGGUGGCGAAGGCGGCCUGCUGGACUGCGACUGACGUUGAGGCCCGAAAGCGUGGGGAGCAAACAGGAUUAGAUACCCCAGUAAG
rnacentral:rRNA from 1 species